rnacentral:rRNA from 1 species
GGGCUUGACAUCCCAUGAACCUGCCCGAAAAGGUGGGGUGCCCGCAAGGGAGCGUGGAGACAGGUGGUGCAUGGCUGUCGUCAGCUCGUGUCGUGAGAUGUUGGGUUAAGUCCCGCAACGAGCGCAACCCUCACCCCUAGUUGCCACCGGGUUAAGCCGAGCACUCAAGGGGAACUGCCAGCGUCAAGCUGGAGGAAGGCGGGGAUGACGUCAAGUCAUCAUGCCCCUUACGCCCUGGGCCACACACGUGCUACAAUGGCCAGUACAAAGGGACGCGAGACUGCGAAGUGGAGCUAAUCCCAAAAAGCUGGUCUAAGUUCAGAUUGCAGUCUGCAACUCGACUGCAUGAAGGAGGAAUCGCUAGUAAUCGCGCAUCAGCCCGGCGCGGUGAAUACGUUCCCGGGCCUUGUACACACCGCCCGUCACACCACGAAAGCUGUCUGUACUCGAAGUCGCUGAG